rnacentral:rRNA from 1 species
UGGGGAAUAUUGCACAAUGGGCGAAAGCCUGAUGCAGCGACGCCGCGUGAGGGAUGAAGGCCUUCGGGUUGUAAACCUCUUUCAGCAGGGAAGAAGCGAAAGUGACGGUACCUGCAGAAGAAGCGCCGGCUAACUACGUGCCAGCAGCCGCGGUAAUACGUAGGGCGCAAGCGUUGUCCGGAAUUAUUGGGCGUAAAGAGCUCGUAGGCGGUUUGUCGCGUCUGGUGUGAAAACUCGAGGCUCAACCUCGAGCUUGCAUCGGGUACGGGCAGACUAGAGUGCGGUAGGGGAGACUGGAAUUCCUGGUGUAGCGGUGGAAUGCGCAGAUAUCAGGAGGAACACCGAUGGCGAAGGCAGGUCUCUGGGCCGCAACUGACGCUGAGGAGCGAAAGCAUGGGGAGCGAACA